rnacentral:tRNA from 5 species
GGGGUAGACGACUAAUUGGUUGGUUACUUUUUUUGGGUAGAAGCUUGAGCGUGUUCGAAUCGCGCCUACCCCG